GUAAUGAGAGUCCCAUAGAGGCCUUUGAGGCCCAAAGAAACAAGCAAACUUCAAUCUCAGUGAACAGUUUACUCUCUUAACUAUGGAGUUAAGAGGUAUUUCUGCCUUUCAUAUAUUUACUUCCAGACUUCACUACAUGUUUAAAGACUAGUGUUUAUGGCAUUGAUUUUAUGUUGGCUCCAGAAGGACAAGAACAAAAAUAAUCCGUAUCCAGCUUAUGAGGGCCCCCAUGGCAAGGAAAAGGCAACACCUUCCCUGAGGGGAGACAGACAGGCUCGGUUGGUCUGGACCAGGUUCCAGCUGCCUCUGCCCCAGUCUUUCUCCUGGCUACAGCCACCAGCACAGCUUGGGGACCUGAUGGCCACUCUCCAUCACUGCUCAUUAAGUACUUCCAGCAACUGAAGAAAAGUGAAUACACAGAGGGAAAAGGUGACAAGAUUCAGACCGAGAAACAUAUGCAAGAAAUCAUUGAGCAGUAACUACUAGUGUUGAUGAAAAACGAAGACUAAAUGAACAUCUGGAAAAACUCCAGAUGGAGUGGCUCUGCUGAAGACUGAUGGGAUAUGUGACGUGGAAGGAAAUGAAAAGAAAUAGUUACAGAUAUCAUGAAUGCUACCAAAUUUGCUAUUGAAAAAAUGCUAUCAUGUAGGCACCUCCUUGGUGCACUCCUUCCUUAGAUUCACUCCUUCAGCUAAUGAAGAGCAAAUGACUGGUAUAGAAAUAAUUAAAGAACAC
rnacentral:lncRNA from 1 species